ensembl:lncRNA
UGAAAACAGUCUUGAGAGUCUGACAAUUGAAUUUUCUUUUAAGCCAGACCCAGCACAUGACAAGUGACCCAUGACCCAUGAAACCACCAAGCAAAGUGAACUAUUCUUCGAGUUGAUUUAUUUCUGGCAUCUCAUCACAGAAAUGAACCGCUCACAAAGAAGUGGUCAGAACAUGCAAUCUCAUACUGUAGUCAAGAAACAUAGGUCUGGAGGGUGAAGGCAGACAGUGUCUCUGCUGAGCCUUGGAGAGCCCGGGGCGCAUUCCUUGACUCUUCCUUCUCAGUUUUGAUUGAAGACCUGACCGGAAGCAACUUAAAACAGGGAGCUGAAGCAGCAUGAUAGUUGUGUACUGCUGGGGUUCCUCUCAUCUCAAGGCAUCAGGAUGCAGGACAGGAUCUUCUACUAAUCCCUUUCUUGCAGAUAGAUUUCACCUCUUAAAGGUUGCACAAUUGCCUCAAAUAGCUCACCAGGAGGGGGACGAGUGCUCAAGCAGCAGCCCGUGAGGGAUGCCACAGGCAAAGGUCACACUGAAUUUGAUUACUUUUUACCAUCGUGAUACCACAGUCCCACUUAGAUAGAUAGCUUUUGAUCUCUAUUCAAGUCCCGGGGUACUUUCUUUUCCAUCCCCUGUCUUUGCUUUCCCUGACUAUAGAACAGCCAGAAUCCAGUUCCCCACAAUGCUUUUCCCUGUUUGGUUGUGCCUUCCUUUCAUCCUCAGUGCUGCCCUCUGUGCUAAGAAUAAAACAGGUUGAUAUGAACCCAGAGAUGGGAUGUGAUUGGUAGACACGAGACUACAGAAGUCUCUUGGAAGAGGCUGCAUUUAAACUGCAAAGUAACUGAUGACCAGGAGCGGCAUGGCAGAAUCAGCUCAAAGUGGAACUAUGUCUUCGUGGAAGCCACACGACGAUGGAAGUCAAGCAAUCGGGAUUGGGAUAUCGGAAGUCACCAGAUGGACGAAGACUAAGAAGAGAGUAAGGGAACAGACAACUGAUGAUUACUCAACUUGAGACCCAUCCCACAUGAGAGAGCCAAUCCUUGACACUAUUAAUGAUGCACUUCUAUGCUUGAAGAUAGGAGCCUAGCAUAACUGUCUCCUGAGGGGCUCAAUCCAGCAGCAGAUGGAAACAGAGACAGAGAGCCGCAACCAAAGAUCAG